UAUCAACCCUGAAGCUCUCGGGGGCAAAUUCACCAUACUUAUCCACCUAUAGCCUUACUAAAAAAUCUUGCUUUUCUACAUAAAACUGCCAAAAAUUGCGAGUGUCACUUUUUUUUUGCAAAAAAUUGCCAAUUUUCAUUUUGUUGCUAUAAAUUACUGAAAAUUGUCGCUUUUUCAAAAAAUCUCAAGUUUUAAUUUUUUUACAUUAAAAGUUUCGCUUUUUGACCAAAAAAUGGCGAAACAGCCACUUUUCUGAGAAAAAUGUGAAAAAAGUAUCAUUUUUUUGCCAUUACUUGCCAAAAAGUCAUUUUUUCUCAUUUAAAUUUUGGCUUUUUUUGUGAUUUUUUUCUACGCCAAUUUUUUUUGCUCACGUCUCAUAAGUUGUAACUUUUAUAGCUACUGUUUUGAACCUUUUUGGAUAUUAAAGUUACUUUUUUUUAAAAUGAAUUGAGUACAAAUGCUGGAAAAAAGAAAAAAAAUUGAAAAGUUUUCAACACCAUUUGACCCCAAACUCGAUACUGCCCCCCCCCCCCCACAGGGAGGUUGAAUUUCUUCAUACCCAUACUGCACUUUUUAAAAUUUUUGGGUCUCGACUUCUUUGGAGGGUUCAUUUUCAUUGGGGGGAAGGGGGUGGUUAUCCGAUCAAUUACCAUCUGUGAAAGCCUAAAAUUUUCAAAAUUUUGGACUUCAGCCCUUUUCCCUCUGGUCCAAUCUGAGGGCUUAUUUUUCAAUUUUCGAAUUAAACUAAUGAUUUGAAUUUUUUUUUGUUUUUUCUCCUUCACGGUUCAGCUUUUCCAAUUUAUUUUUGAGUUUUGAUUCAACCCUUUGGCAAAAGCUCAGACUUUCAAAAUUUUGAAUUUUAUUUCGCACUUUGGCUCAGAUCGUGCUGGAAAAAUUUAGAAAUCGACUCCACUUAAUAUUCACACAUUUUUCACCCAGAAGGUUUUUCAUGUUAUGCAAAUUACUUCAAAAAAAUGACCAUAAACUCCACCUAGCUCGAAACAAUCGUCGAUACAAUUUGGUUAAAUCGUAUCAAUAAUAUUUCCCAUAAUAAGCGCAUAGUUUGGACGGGUUUUCUGGCAUUUGUUGAAAUAUAUGCGUAUAAAUCGUCGUCGCGGUGGCGUUUAAAUAGGUCACGGACCAUGUAGUUUUUGUUUUGGUGUGCGCCCUGCAAAGCGAGAGAACAACACGAGGAGGAGGAUACAAGAGAAGGGUAAAAAACUAAUUACUCGUCGAAUGGAUAAUGGCGAACGACGACGACGAGCUCGCAAAAAACCCCUGUUGAUAUUUUGUCAGCCAAAUGGUGAAUUUUUCGUCGAGAGAGAGUCGACUUUCUUCAAUAUUUCUUCGCGCCACGUUUCGUUUAGAAAAAUUGAAAAUAUUUCCCGUCAAAUGAGAUGGUUUUUGUUUUUUAACGUCGGUCGGGUCGGGUCGGGUAGGGGUAUAUAGCGCUUGAGAAAGGUAAUCAGGGUAAAGAGGGAGGUUUUUCUAGCUCUCUGGUAUACGCGAUUUACGUGCUGAUGGUAGGAAUUUGAAAAAGAGUAUAAUUUUUGAACUACUUUUUAUUCACAAUGGGAAUAAUACGCAAGAUACAGGGAUGGCUUUUUGCGCCCUUACAUCAAAAUUAAAACGUUGCUAGACGAAAAUCUUUUCAUGAAGUACGUGAUACGCUUCGGGACAGAUUAAAAAAAAAUAUUUCCUUUUUUUCUUUCUUUUUUUUUUUUUUUUAAUACAUCAGAAGCAUCGCAUCGAGGAGAAAAAAAUGUCGUUGAACAGAACAGAACAGAGUAGAGCAGAGUAAACUACAUAGAGAGAAUACGAUGUUGAUGUAGUCGAAGCGCGGUCGUUAAACAAUUCAUGAAAAGCUGUCUUUUUCAACUUUUCAGCAAUCAUGUGCUUUUGUGUGUAUUACAGAACAGCUGGACGAAUUAAUUUUGUUUUAAUUUUACGCAUCGUUAAGCUCACGGAACCUUGUAUUGUUGUAUUGCGAGGUGUAAAUGUAUCUGCUGAGAUGAACGUGUACAAUUUCACAACUCAGCUCGCGAAUAAUCGUAUUUUGUAACGUUUUAUAAUACGUAAUGUACCUUAGCCUAGAGUUUACGUGUAGAAUCUACCUAUAAUACGAGUAUAUUGUGUAAUAUUACUUGUAUUUUCUGAUAUUUUGCCUUAUUUAAUAGUUUGGUUUAGAUGUGAAGUAGAAUAUUGUAAAAUUAUGUUCGAGAAAAGCUGGUUUAUAAUUUUGUAUCCUCCAUGAUCAUUCUUCAUCCUGUGUUUGUUUCAUUACUGGACGGAGAACUGAUUCUGGCUGGUACAAAUAUGUUCCACUGUGGUCUCAAGAAGAAUUUUCGGAUUCUAGUUGAAAUAUGAUGUGUUUUUUUGUGUGUUUUUAACUCGAAUAUGUUUCAGUGCUGAGAGGAUCGGUUCGAAAUUAAUGUGGUGAUUUUCAACUGCAGUGUGCAUCCCCUAAAAAUCAAGCAAAGUAGUUGAUUAAACACGUUGAAAAAGUAAGACGAAAAUUCCAUUAUAAACGUUCGAUGAAGUUUGAAAAUUUGAAAAACGAAAAAGUGAAGCUAUAAAGGUAAUUUUUAUACACCCAUUCCUCCGAAAUUUUUUUGGAAUGUACAAAGACGUUGGGAAAGCGAAAAAUUGGCACGUAAAUUUUUAGCACCUUCCCUCUCCCUCUAUCCCUCCAUCAGAAAAAAAGAGUCGUCAAGUAUUUGCAAAGCUCCUACUCGAUUAUUUUUCAUGUAACCAACUGAACAUAACUUUCGUCUAAUUUUUUAAAAUUUUGGUUGCUUGGAUUAUUUUUUGAAAAAAAAAAAAUCAAAAAUUUAAUUUUUCUGAAAUUUUGGCUUGACUUAAUUUUUUGAAAAAAAAAGAAAGGAAAAAAUUAUAACAAAUAUCAACAAGUAUAGUGUUAUUCUGGAGUACAUUUUUUUACUGUUUUUUAAUUGACUACACUGCCUUUUCAACGUUUUCUCUCGCCUCGCUUUUUGCUUAAAUCGUCAAGGUCUUGCUUUCUGUCAAAAAAUACUAAAAACUUUCAUUACCUAUUUGGCAAAAAAUUUCAAAAGUUUUGCUUUGUGUCAGUAAUUGCCGAAAAUUCUCAUUUUAUUGCCAAAAAUCUGCAAAAAGUGCAAAAAACUUGUUUGCCAAAAAUUUACAAAAAUUCUCUCUUUAUUGCGCCAAAAAUGUUGUAAAGUUUCUCUUUUUGGCAAAAAAUGCUAAAAAAAAACUCGCCCAUUUGUUGAACUUGUCAGUAUAGAUUUCUGCCAAAAGCAACAAAAAGUUUCACCUAGGUAUUGUCUAGAGUAUCAGGAAGUGUCGUUUUCUCGUAAAACUGCAGAAGCUUAACACCCUCUGGCAUACAUUGCAAAAGUUACUUCUAAAAAUUGUCAAAAAAAACUCAUUUUUCGCCACGAAGCUGCGAAAGAUUUACUUUUUCGACAAAAGGUGCAAAAAAACACGUUUUGUUUGCCAGUAAUCAACAAAAAAUUCUCUUUGUGGCUAACAAUUGCUAGAAAUUGGUACAUACUCGUAUUUUGCAAAAAGAGCACCUUUUGCUGGAGUAGUUUUCUGCCAAAAAUAGCAAAAAGUUUGACUUUUUGUUAAAAUUGCCAAAAAUCUGUUUUUUUUUUUGGCUAAAAUUGACGGUUCCUUGCGAAAAAUUUUAAAAAGUUCAAAUUUUUCCCAAAAGUUUUAGAAGGGUUGCUUUUUGCCAGAAAUUCUCGAAAUUUCCAUAAUUCUUUAUUUUUGUACAAUUUUGACCAACUCUUGAUCGAGUUUAUUUUAUGAUGACUAAAUUUUAGUUGGAAAUUGAGAUAUUUUUUUGGUACGUUUUUUUACGUCAAGUUUAAUUGAAAGGUUCUGUUUUUUUGCCAAUUUUCCUGCAUUAUAAUGUUUUGCUCACGUUUUGUUUAUUCAAAGUUACUUUUUUUUUUUAGAAGAUGAAUUGAGUCGAAUCCUGUAUUCGAAAAAAGUCUUGUCCAAGUUCCUUGAGCCUCAUAUCAAGUCCUCAGAUUUCUUGCGUGAUUUAUUCCACUUCUUUUUGCAAUGUGAGCCUCCAAAUUUCAUGAAGUUGAAAAAGAUCUGGCGAUAAUUUAAACGUUGUUGUUGAAAACCUAACAAAUCAUGCAUCUUAUGAAUUCAAAUUUGAAUUUUUUUUGACAGUUGAUUUUUUGAAUUUUUAUAUUGAACGCAACAUAAGUUGAGGUGAAAGAAUACUAUUUUUAGGAAUAAGCUACUAUAAUAAGUAUGUUAUGAUGGACUAUGUUUGUAAAAAAAGAAAUAAAAAAAUUAAAUUUUGUGUA